rnacentral:rRNA from 1 species
CUUGGUCAUUUAGAGGAAGUAAAAGUCGUAACAAGGUCUCCGUUGGUGAACCAGCGGAGGGAUCAUUACAGAGUUAUCCAACUCCCAAACCCAUGUGAACAUAUCUCUUUGUUGCCUCGGCGCAAGCUACCCGGGACCUCGCGCCCCGGGCGGCCCGCCGGCGGACAAACCAAACUCUGUUAUCUUCGUUGAUUAUCUGAGUGUCUUAUUUAAUAAGUCAAAACUUUCAACAACGGAUCUCUUGGUUCUGGCAUCGAUGAAGAACGCAGCGAAAUGCGAUAAGUAAUGUGAAUUGCAGAAUUCAGUGAAUCAUCGAAUCUUUGAACGCACAUUGCGCCCAUUAGUAUUCUAGUGGGCAUGCCUGUUCGAGCGUCAUUUCAACCCCUAAGCACAGCUUAUUGUUGGGCGUCUACGUCUGUAGUGCCUCAAAGACAUUGGCGGAGCGGCAGCAGUCCUCUGAGCGUAGUAAUUCUUUAUCUCGCUUCUGUUAGGCGCUGCCCCCCCGGCCGUAAAACCCCCAAUUUUUUCUGGUUGACCUCGGAUCAGGUAGGAAUACCCGCUGAACUUAAGCAUAUCAAUAAGCGGAGGA